rnacentral:rRNA from 1 species
CGGACGGGUGAGUAACACGUGGAUAACCUACCUAUAAGACUGGGAUAACUUCGGGAAACCGGAGCUAAUACCGGAUAAUAUAUUGAACCGCAUGGUUCAAUAGUGAAAGACGGUUUUGCUGUCACUUAUAGAUGGAUCCGCGCUGCAUUAGCUAGUUGGUAAGGUAACGGCUUACCAAGGCAACGAUGCGUAGUCGACCUGAGAGGGUGAUCGGCCACACUGGAACUGAGACACGGUCCAGACUCCUACGGGAGGCAGCAGGC